rnacentral:lncRNA from 1 species
AUGGUCUGUCCAUUUGUACGUUCAAUCUCUUGACAACUUCAACUAAUGUUGAAUGCCAAAGUGUAAACGUUGAUCGUGUGACAAAUGUAAAUUGAUUCAUGAGGAGAGACUGUGGUUUGGUGCAAAGAAAGUGUUCUGGAAUUGGAAGAUCUGGAUCAGACUCAGGCUCUGUCAGAUAAUGGCUGUAUCAUCUUUGAAAAGCAAAACAAUCUACUAAUGAAAUCAGAAGGAUUUCCAGUGAUGCUGCCCACAUUUCUGUGAAAAAGAGGAAGUUUUUUAAGUCAGAUGGAAGUUACACUUUUUCAAAAAAAAAAAUAUGCAGGGAAGAAUAACUCUCUCUCAUCAAUGUGGAAAUUGAUGAUAAAAACUUGGAGAAGACUGCUGUAUUGGAUUACAGGUUCAUAUGUUCUAAGCAAGAGAGAAAAGCCUAAAAUCUAUUUCUCUGUCAUGAUACUGCUCGAAGGUGCUCAAAAAACAUUUGUUGAGUAAGUGAACCUGAGACUAUCAACAAGCAUUAUUUUAAAAUCACUAGCAAAGGGUCAGAUGAAAGUGAGAUCCAUACAUCCUUCUUCAGCAACUUGUGCCUCUGCUCUGCACCUCCCGCAAUUAACUACUGAAAAAAGAACACAGCUUCACAAAAGAGAUUGUAAAAUCAGGAAGUAUAUCUAAGUCACCUCCAGUAGCCGUAACUCUACCUUGUCCAGUAAAAGGUGAUGCAUUACAAAAGUUGACCCUUUAAAAGAAAAUUUGCUUGAUUUAACAUAUGAAGAUGCUCCUUUUUCUCUCUGAAGCAAGAGAAACAAUUGUCUCUCCCUUCUGCUCUUUAAUCUGUCAUCUGCACAUUUUUACUGCGAAUUAAGAAUAAACGUUUUAAAAA